rnacentral:rRNA from 1 species
CCUACGGGUGGCUGCAGUGGGGAAUAUUGGACAAUGGGGGCAACCCUGAUCCAGCCAUGCCGCGUGUGUGAAGAAGGCCCUCGGGUUGUAAAGCACUUUCAGUGAGGAAGAACGCCUGGUGGUUAAUACCCAUCAGGAAAGACAUCACUCACAGAAGAAGCACCGGCUAACUCCGUGCCAGCAGCCGCGGUAAUACGGAGGGUGCGAGCGUUAAUCGGAAUUACUGGGCGUAAAGCGCGCGUAGGUGGCUUGAUAAGCCGGUUGUGAAAGCCCCGGGCUCAACCUGGGAACGGCAUCCGGAACUGUCAAGCUAGAGUGCAGGAGAGGAAGGUAGAAUUCCCGGUGUAGCGGUGAAAUGCGUAGAGAUCGGGAGGAAUACCAGUGGCGAAGGCGGCCUUCUGGACUGACACUGACACUGAGGUGCGAAAGCGUGGGUAGCAAACAGGAUUAGAUACCCCGUAGUC